rnacentral:rRNA from 1 species
GCUCAGGAUGAACGCUGGCGGCGUGCUUAACACAUGCAAGUCGAACGAACCUUCGGGUUAGUGGCGGACGGGUGAGUAACGCGUGAGAAUCUGCCCUCAGGAGGGGGAUAACGGCUGGAAACGGCCGCUAAUACCCCAUAUGCCGAGAGGUGAAAUGAAUUUCGCCUGAGGAUGAGCUCGCGUCUGAUUAGCUAGUUGGUGGGGUAAGAGCCCACCAAGGCUUCGAUCAGUAGCUGGUCUGAGAGGAUGAUCAGCCACACUGGGACUGAGACACGGCCCAGACUCCUACGGGAGGCAGCAGUGGGGAAUUUUCCGCAAUGGGCGCAAGCCUGACGGAGCAACGCCGCGUGAGGGAUGAAGGCCUCUGGGCUGUAAACCUCUUUUAUCAAGGAAGAAGAUCUGACGGUACUUGAUGAAUAAGCCACGGCUAAUUCCGUGCCAGCAGCCGCGGUAAUACGGGAGUGGCAAGCGUUAUCCGGAAUUAUUGGGCGUAAAGCGUCCGCAGGCGGUCUUGUAAGUCUGUCGUUAAAGCGUGGAGCUUAACUCCAUUUCGGCGAUGGAAACUACAAGACUAGAGUGUGGUAGGGGCAGAGGGAAUUCCCGGUGUAGCGGUGAAAUGCGUAGAUAUCGGGAAGAACACCAGUGGCGAAGGCGCUCUGCUGGGCCAUAACUGACGCUCAUGGACGAAAGCCAGGGGAGCGAAAGGGAUUAGAUACCCCUGUAGUCCUGGCCGUAAACGAUGAACACUAGGUGUCGGGGGAAUCGACCCCCUCGGUGUCGUAGCCAACGCGUUAAGUGUUCCGCCUGGGGAGUACGCACGCAAGUGUGAAACUCAAAGGAAUUGACGGGGGCCCGCACAAGCGGUGGAGUAUGUGGUUUAAUUCGAUGCAACGCGAAGAACCUUACCAGGGUUUGACAUCCUGCGAAUCCCUUGGAAACGAGGGAGUGCCUUCGGGAGCGCAGAGACAGGUGGUGCAUGGCUGUCGUCAGCUCGUGUCGUGAGAUGUUGGGUUAAGUCCCGCAACGAGCGCAACCCACGUCUUUAGUUGCCAGCAUUUAGUUGGGCACUCUAGAGAGACCGCCGGUGAUAAACCGGAGGAAGGUGUGGAUGACGUCAAGUCAUCAUGCCCCUUACAUCCUGGGCUACACACGUACUACAAUGCUACGGACAAAGGGCAGCAAACUCGCGAGAGCUAGCAAAUCCCAUAAACCGUGGCUCAGUUCAGAUCGUAGGCUGCAACUCGCCUACGUGAAGGCGGAAUCGCUAGUAAUCGCAGGUCAGCAUACUGCGGUGAAUACGUUCCCGGGCCUUGUACACACCGCCCGUCACACCAUGGAAGUUGGCCACGCCCGAAGUCGUUACUCCAACCCUUGUGGAGGAGGACGCCGAAGGUGGGGCUGAUGACUGGGGUGAAGUCGU